AAUGAGAAAGUGAUGGCUACAAGAAGGACAAACUAGCAGACACAUUGGUUUUUGAUGGCUCAAACUGAAGUUCUGUAAUACAUUCAAACAUAAUUGAAGCCUGAAGAGCUCCUCACUUUACAAACCCCACCCAACAAAAAAAAAAAAAAAAAAAAAAAAAAGACAUCGAUCCCCAGAAUCCAAUCAUUAGUGUUUGUGUUCGAGUGAAUUUAGUCUUUCUCAGCAUGAUAAGUUUAGUUAACAUAUUUGGGGUACUAGGUAAUAUUAUGUCAGGGCUACUCUACCUUUCUCCUUUUCCAACGUUUUGGCGAAUUGUAAAGCGUAGAUCUACCGAGGAAUUUGAGAGCCUUCCUUACAUUUGCAAAUUGCUGAAUGCAUACUUUUGGGUGUACUAUGGUCUUAUAAAACCUGAUAGCUUGCUCGUUGCCACUGUUAACAUGUUUGGUGGUGUAGUUGAGAUCAUUUUUCUCACAAUAUUUCUACUUCUUGCUCCUCCAAGAAUGAAGACUAGGACUACCAUCCUUGUUGCAAUUUUGGAUGUGGGUUUUCCAGCGGCAGCAAUUUUGCUUACACAAUUCUUGCUACAUGAAGAAGCGCGGAUUGAUGUUGCAGGGUUAUUGUGUGUAAUCUUCAGUAUGAUUGCAUAUGCUUCACCUCUCUCAGCUAUGAAAACGGUGGUGACCACAAAGAGUGUGGAGUACAUGCCUUUUCUUCUGUCAUUCAUCUUUUUCGUAAAUGGAGGAGUUUGGACCAUCUAUGCCUUGCUCACAAAAGACUGGUUUGUUGGAUUACCAAAUGGGACUGGAUUUUUACUUGGAAUAGCUCAACUGAUUCUCUAUGCAAUUUACUGGAAACCUAAUAAGUCAUCCAAGCAAGUCCUUGAUGUCUUAGAGGAUCAACAGCAACAUGAACCACUCAUCCCAGGAGGCCUCCAAUCCAAUCAUACAGGAGAAGUGACUAGUAGUUAUAGGUCAUAAUAAUUCUAUAGAAAAAGCCGCCAAUGAUUAAUAAAAGUAGAGGGUAUUACAUAAAAAGUUCUAUUUUUGUACACUCUCUAUUGGAUUUGUCUUUUAUAUGUCCUGUAGAAAAUAGUAUUGUUAACUAGCAUCAAAUUAUUCAACUUUCAAUCAUUAUUAA